rnacentral:misc_RNA from 1 species
GAUGAAGAACUCAGCGAAAUGCGAUAAGUAAUGUGAAUUGCAGAAUUCAGUGAAUCAUCGAAUCUUUGAACGCACCUUGCGCCCUUUGGCCAUUCCGAAGGGCAUGCCUGUUUGAGUAUCAUGAACACCUCAACUCUUCAUGGUUUUCCAUGAUGAGCUUGGACUUUGGGGGUCUUGCUGGCCUGUGGGUCGGCUCCUCUCAAAUGAAUCAGCUUGCCGGUUUUUGGUGGGCAUCACAGGUGUGAUAACUAUCUACGCUUGUGGUUUUCCGCCAGGUAACCUUCAGCAAUGGAGGUUCGCUGGAGCUCAUAAAUGUCUCUCCUCAGCGAGGACAGAUUUUGACCGUUUGAUCUCAAAUCAGGUAGGACUACCCGCUGAACUUAAGCAUAUCAAUAAGCGGAGGA